rnacentral:rRNA from 1 species
AGUCAUAUGCUUAGCUCAAAGAUUAAGCCAUGCAUGUCUAAGUAUAAACACAUUUGUACUGUUAAACUGCAGAUAGCUCAUUACAACAGUUAUAGUUUACUUGACAGUUGACUCGAUACACGGAUAACCGUAGUAACUCUAGGGCUAAUACGUGACAAAACCUCUAUGAGGCGUGCAUAUUAGACUAAAACCAAUGUCAUUAAUUGGAUCGAUAUUAUUCUGUCGGAUCGCGUUGGCUCUGCCGGCGACGUGUCAAUCAAGUUUCUGCCCUAUCAGCUCUGACGGUAGGUUAUUGGCCUACCGUGGCAUUGACGGGUACGGGGAAUCAGGGUUCGAUUCCGGAGAGGCAGCCUGAGAAACGGCUACCACAUCUACGGAAGGCAGCAGGUGCGAAAAUUACCCAAUCCUGACACAGGGAAGUAGUGACAAGCAAUAACAAUUCGCAACCUCUGGUUGCUAUUUGGAAUGAGUACAACGCAAAAGCCUUAACGACCAUCAAGCGGAGGGCAAGCAUGGUGCCAGCAGCCGCGGUAACACCAGCUCCGCUAGUAUAUACUAAAGUUGUUGCUGUUAAAACGCUCGUAGUUGGAUAUCAGUUUGGCGGGCAUGGCCCGGUGGCAUUAGCCGUCGCGCGCCAAAGCGGAAACGCCGCCCGCCAGACUUAAUUCAGGAAACCGGUCUGGCCAUUCACUUGGCUGGGCUGGUACGUCCUGAUCUUUUACUUUGAGAAAAUUAGAGCGCUCAAAGCAGGCCCGCGCCUGAAUGCAUUAGCAUGGAAUAACAACUCUGCGACUUUGGCAUCGCCCUUUCGGGUGAGAGUUUUGUUGGUUUAGAGCCGAAGUAAUGAUUGAUAGGAGCAGUUGGGGGUGCUAGUAUCGCCGGGCGAGAGGUAAAAUUCUGGGACCCCGGUGAGACUAACUCAGGCGAAAGCAUUCACCAAGCAUGUCUUCUUUAAUCAAGAACUAAAGCUAAGGGAUCGAAGACGAUCAGAUACCGUCGUAGUCUUAGCCAUAAACGAUGUCGACUGGGAAUUGGGCAAGUUGGACUUCCUCAGGACCCUAAGAGAAAUCAAAGUAAUCGGACUCAGGGGGGAGUAUGCUCGCAAGAGUGAAAUUUAAAGGAAUUGACGGAAGGGCACCACCAGAUGUGGAGUCUGCGGCUCAAUUUGACUCAACACGGGAAAACUUACCAGGUCAAUACAUAGUAAGGAUUGACAGAUUGAAGUUCUUUCUUGAUUCUAUGGAUAGUGGUGCAUGGCCGUUCUUAGUCGGUGGAGUGAUCUGUCUGGUUAAUUCCGAUAACGGACGAGACCCCUGCCAUCUAACUAGCUGUCGCUAGUAUCUAGCGUCCGCUUGCGGGCUCAGCUUCUUAGAGGGACAAACUGCGUCCAGCAGUGGGAAGUUUGGGGCCAUAACAGGUCAGUGAUGCCCUUAUAAGGUCUGGGCUGCACGCGCACUACAAUGACGCAUGCAACGAGCAUAGCCUGGCUUGAAAAGGCCGGGUAAUCUGCAACGUGCGCCAAAGUGGGGAUUGAUGAUUGCAAUUGUUCAUCAUGAACUAGGAAUAUCUAGUAAGCGCAAGUCAACAACUUGCACUGAUUACGUCCCUGCCCUUUGUACACACCGCCCGUCGCUUUUACCGAUCGAAUAAUCAGGUGAAUGGAGUGGAGGGGGGGAGUGCUUCGGCAAAUCACCCCUGAAGCUCCGUGAAUCGGAUUAUUUAGAGGAAAAAUAAGUCGUAACAAGGUUUCC